rnacentral:rRNA from 1 species
AUUGAACGCUGGCGGCAUGCUUUACACAUGCAAGUCGAACGGCAGCGCGGGCUUCGGCCUGGCUGCGAGUGGCGAACGGGUGAGUAAUACAUCGGAACGUGCCCAGUAGGGGGGGAUAGCUCGUCGAAAGCCGGAUUAAUACCGCAUACGACCUGAUGGUGAAAGCGGGGGAUCUUCGGACCUCUCGCUAUUGGAGCGGCCGAUGGCGGAUUAGCUAGUUGGUGGGGUAAAGGCCUACCAAGGCGACGAUCUGUAGCUGGUCUGAGAGGACGACCAGCCACACUGGGACUGAGACACGGCCCAGACUCCUACGGGAGGCAGCAGUGGGGAAUUUUGGACAAUGGGCGAAAGCCUGAUCCAGCAAUGCCGCGUGUGUGAUGAAGGCCUUCGGGUCGUAAAGAACUUUUGGCGGGAACGAAAAGGACUGUGCCAAUACCACGGUUCGAUGACGGUACCCGCAGAAUAAGCACCGGCUAACUACGUG